rnacentral:rRNA from 1 species
UACAGAGGUCUCAAGCGUUGUUCGGAUUCAUUGGGCGUAAAGGGUGUGUAGGUGGCGCGCUAAGUCGGGUGUGAAAUUUCGGAGCUUAACUCCGAAACUGCAUUCGAUACUGGCGUGCUUGAGGACUGGAGAGGAGACUGGAAUUCAUGGUGUAGCAGUGAAAUGCGUAGAGAUCAUGAGGAAGACCAGUGGCGAAGGCGGCUUCCUGGCCUGUUCUUGACGCUGAGGCGCGAAAGCUAGGGGAGCAAACGGG